CUAUUUUGAAGUAUUUCUAACCCCAUUACAGUUUAACUUUGUCUUCAUUAUUAUUAUAGAUUUUUUCUGUAGUGAUUUUGCUCAUUUAUAAGUUUUGACAGUUACACACUUUUUGGGAUCAUGAAAGCUGUCAAUACAUAACAUUUCUUUGAUAGCGUGGGUAUUACUCACAUAGUCAAUCAUAAGCAGGAGGAUCAGUGUACCUUAGUCUUAAUAAUGUUUUAUUUGCUUGUGUUAAGCUGAGAACUCUUGAUUUUCUUCAAUAGCCACAAAUAUAUCAUGCCACGUUUUACUUCUUUUUGAGGUUGUAUUUCCUUUUGGAAUCUAACCUUCAGUUUUCUACUAUUCUUAGAUUUUACACAUAGAUACCGAAGAUUGAAAGAAUAUUCUCACUUUUAUUCCACUGGUGCCAGCUUGUGUGGUAAGUUCUAGCUUAUACUUGCUCUUAACAUGUUUUCAUGGUUUCAUGUGAAUGCAAUAAUCUGAUUUCUUACAAGUAUUAAUAAAUAAAAUCUUUAUUAUUUACAUGUUAAUUUUAUUUUUAGACCUAAAAUAACAUGCAUUCUAUUUUUGGCCCAUUAAUUUGAAGAUAUCCCAGAUUUGAAACCCAUUCUUUGUUUUUGUCAUAGUUUGAACAGUCUCUAUUACAAAUUAAUGGACAAAACUGAAUCAAUAGGAAAAAAAACCUGAUUAUUUAUUUAUAGAAAGAGGAGAUGGUGGUGGCAAGUCAUGAGGCUCUGCACUCAGUUAGGUAGCCUACAAGUCACGAGGACUGAGGUGAUGGUGUGCUCUUCAAUGAACUCAUUUUUUAUUUUAUUUUGUAAUUAUAAUUGAAAGUGGCUAAUAAAGAUAUACAUAUAAAAAAAUUAGGUGGCCUGAUUAUACAAUCUAUAUAUAUAUAUAGUCGAUAUCCUUGUUUGUCCUUUUCCCUAGCUGCACAUUUUGUUAUAUUAUCCCUAAAUAAAUAAAAACAAAAGAACAAAAAAAAUAUAGAGAACAAAGCAGCCUUCAAGCUUGUUAUUUAUGUAGUUUGGUAUUCAUAUAUAAUAUCAUAAUCAGUUAUAUAUAAGAAUUAGUUAUGUGUGUUAUUAUAUUGUAAUUGAAAAAUGAAGGAUAACCCUCAAAGUAGCAAUCACUUUGUUAAAGCUUUCUUAUUUAUUCAUUCCUUGGGCAGUGCAAAGAAGAGUUGAAGAAAACUUGAUUUGAGAUAUGGUGGACAAGCUAAGCAUUUGACUCAACCCAAGGCUGAGAAGAAAGAACUUCAAAGAAACUAUUUUGCAACAGUUUGCAAGAGGCUAAAACUCUACUUGGAUAUUUAAGAGAACCAAGACAAUUAUAUAAGAGAACCAAGGCAACACGAAAUUCUUCUUCAAGUUGUUGGGUAUUAUUUUCUUUCUUGCUUGUAAGAA